GACGAACGCUGGCGGCGUGCUUAACACAUGCAAGUCGAACGGAAAGGCCCUGCUUUUGUGGGGUGCUCGAGUGGCGAACGGGUGAGUAACACGUGAGUAACCUGCCCUUGACUUUGGGAUAACUUCAGGAAACUGGGGCUAAUACCGGAUAGGAGCUCCUGCUGCAUGGUGGGGGUUGGAAAGUUUCGGCGGUUGGGGAUGGACUCGCGGCUUAUCAGCUUGUUGGUGGGGUAGUGGCUUACCAAGGCUUUGACGGGUAGCCGGCCUGAGAGGGUGACCGGCCACAUUGGGACUGAGAGACGGCCCAGACUCCUACGGGAGGCAGCAGUGGGGAAUAUUGCACAAUGAGCGGAAGCCUGAUGCAGCAACGCCGCGUGCGGGAUGACGGCCUUCGGGUUGUAAACCGCUUUCGCCUGUGACGAAGCGUGAGUGACGGUAAUGGGUAAAGAAGCACCGGCUAACUACGUG
rnacentral:rRNA from 1 species